UACGAAGGGGGCUAGCGUUGUUCGGAAUUACUGGGCGUAAAGGGCUCGUAGGCGGCCAACUAAGUCAGACGUGAAAUCCCUCAGCUUAACUGGGGAACUGCGUCUGAUACUGGAUGGCUUGGAUUCGGGAGAGGAAUGCGGAAUUCCAGGUGUAGCGGUGAAAUGCGUAGAUAUCUGGAGGAACACCGGUGGCGAAGGCGGCAUUCUGGACCGACAUUGACGCUGAGGAGCGAAAGCCAGGGGAGCAAACGGG
rnacentral:rRNA from 1 species